UCUCUCUCCCCUUCUCAAUUCCAUCCGACCAAAACUUAUCCUCUCCUUUUUUUUUUUUUUUUUUGCGUUCUGUCUCUCUCCCCUCCUCAAUUGAGUAAAUUCCAUCCGAUUCUCAUCGACCUUAGUACCUCACUACUUAGCCGCUCACUCUCAGGUCGUGGCUAUCUAGCAAUUUUCUGGAAUUCUGGAAAUUGAGAAAAUUAGAGGAGGAGCUGUGAGCAAACUCAGAGUCUCAUCUCAGUCAUCUGAAUAUUUGAUCUUCAAGGAAUCAAGUUCUCUUAUUUACAUUGAUUUACUUCAAUUUUCUGGGAAUAUUUUUGCAUCGUUGUGUUAAAAUUUAGAAGCAUGCCUCCUAAAAGAAAAUGUUUAUCUGGAUAUGCAAAACGUUUAAAGAAGAAAAAAGAUGCAGAGUUGGUUCAAUCUUUAUGGGGAAGUCUUGAUAGGUUCAUUACUUGAGAACCAUAAGGUUUGGGUGAAGAUUUAGUCAAUGAAGAGGCAGAAGACACAUUGAGAGGGAAGAUAAUGUAGAAGAGCACACUAAUAGGGAAAAUAAUGUGGAAGAGCACACUAAUGACAAUGAUAAUGUAUUGGAUCAUGGUGAAAAUGAGAAUGACGAGGGACAUGAUGAUAAUGUGAAUGAUGCGGAUGUGACUCCCAUGAACAUUUUUUUUCCAAGAACUUGGGAUAGCUUGGAUAAAAAGUUGAUAGAUUUGCUGGUAGAAAAGAGUCCUCUUAGAGAUCUUUCAAUAGAAAAUGGCCCUCAAGACAAGUUCAAUAGACAUUUCAGUUCAAAGUUUUACACUCAGUUUUUAGGAAAUGGAGAGAAAUAUGACAGAGAGUGGCUAGUGUACUCAAAGGAACUUGAUAAGGUCUUUUGUUUUUGCUGCAAGUUGUUUAAAAGGAGGCCAAUGCAGCUAAGAAGGUAAGGAGAUAAAUUUUCAAAUGAAUAUCAAUCAACACUACUGAAAGAACGUAUUAUUUUGAGGGUUUUAGAUCAAGCAUCUUUUUGUAAUAUUUUUUGCUGCAAACUUUACACUUGUAUUGACUAUUUAGCCUCUGUUGUAGGCUCAUCUAAUGUUGGCUAUUUGAUUUUAUA